CCUAUCCUCAAUCAAACCAAAUUUCACUAAAAAUAGACCACCCUUCAAUGCCACAAAAUUAACCGGUUCCUUAGUAUACCAUAAAGAUUUUAGCACUCGGUACAUUGCUUCUCUAUUAAUUUUUUCUCCGGACAUGAACUUCCCAAUAGUCCAUGCUUCAAAUCCCUGCAAGUCUGAUUUAGUUGAGCCUUGGCAGACCACCUUUCCUUUUUCAGAUUCUGAGAACUUGAGAUUAGCCCAAAAAAAUCAUUCAAAUCAUCCAUCGCACCUUAACCUCGCAUCAAACAAAGAAAGACAAGACACCAAAACCGAGAACCAACCCACCACCCACGUCAACAAUACACCCCACAAAAGAGAAGAAAGCACCAAACACACUAGCCAGACCACCUUCCACCGCAACCCAAAGAAAACACCAGCAAUAGAACCCUAACGCAAGAAAUAAAAUCGCAGAAAUCCCAAAAAUAACAGUAAACCAAAUAACCGAAAAACCAGUUCAGUAAAAAAUAUUUAAAAACCCAGCAGACCAUACCAAAGGAAUAAAAAAACACGAAUAAAAGAAACACAAAUAGAAAAAAAAAAAUUAAACAGUCCUUUCAAAGUCCAUUUACAACCCAAAGAAAACUUGUAUAGGGAAAUACGACUAAAAUAAGACCCAAAGAGAACUGAAACUAGAAAACCACGCGAACAAGAGGAACUUCCCCACUAGUCCCCGAACACAACCUGCUCCAAAAAGUUCCCACCGUCGAAGAGAACAACCCAAGCAGGCAUCAGGACGGACCGAACAAACACCAACCACAAUCGUAGCCGAAGAAACCACGCAACCCAGGCACCACGAACAAGACACAAAAAAGGGAGAAGAAAGGUCCCCGACUCAAAACAGAAAGAGGAGAACUAAGAACCAAUUUUAAGAAAAAAACAUAAAACAAGGAAGCAUUCAAAAACCAAGCAUUUCACAAAACACACCACCGGUACAAAAGAGGAGAAUCACCCAAAAGCAAAAAUAAGAAUAGUCCAUUAAAACGGUCCAUUUACAAAACUGGAAACAAAGUAAGGGCUAAGAGAACAAACAAGAUGAAGAGAACCGUAAAGGAAACCAAGCAGAAGAACCACCACAAACAGCCCAGAUCAAGACCAAGCCAUAUGCUCCAUCCGUCGAAACAAGAACAGCCCAAGAACCUUCGCGAGGAACCGACUUCCUCCCCAAACCACCAAGGGCAUGACACCCGUCAAAAACCAAGAAAAACGUCCCCCGUCGAGGAGAGAAAGCAGCCCAAGAACACCCUGAAGAACCAGGAAGAAACGGCCACCCCUAAAAACCGAGAGCUCACCACCCC
rnacentral:lncRNA from 1 species